UUGACUGGGGCGGUCUCCUCCCAAAGCGUAACGGAGGAGCACGAAGGUGGGCUAAUCACGGUUGGACAUCGUGAGGUUAGUGCAAUGGCAUAAGCCCGCUUGACUGCGAGAAUGACAAUUCGAGCAGGUGCGAAAGCAGGUCAUAGUGAUCCGGUGGUUCUGAAUGGAAGGGCCAUCGCUCAACGGAUAAAAGGUACUCCGGGGAUAACAGGCUGAUACCGCCCAAGAGUUCAUAUCGACGGCGGUGUUUGGCACCUCGAUGUCGGCUCAUCACAUCCUGGGGCUGAAGUCGGUCCCAAGGGUAUGGCUGUUCGCCAUUUAAAGUGGUACGCGAGCUGGGUUUAGAACGUCGUGAGACAGUUCGGUCCCUAUCUGCCGUGGGCGUUGGAGAAUUGAAAGGGGCUGCUCCUAGUACGAGAGGACCGGAGUGGACGAACCUCUGGUGUUCGGGUUGUGUCGCCAGACGCAUUGCCCGGUAGCUAAGUUCGGGAUCGAUAACCGCUGAAAGCAUCUAAGCGGGAAGCGAGCCUUGAGAUGAGUUCUCCCUGAUACUUUAAGUAUCCUAAAGGGUUGUCGUAGACUACGACGUUGAUAGGCAGGGUGUGUAAGCGUUGUGAGGCGUUGAGCUAACCUGUACUAAUUGCCCGUGAGGCUUAACCAU
rnacentral:rRNA from 1 species